CAGAGUCAGACCUCCAUAUGACCUCCUGUAAUAGACCUCUAUAAGGUUCAUUUAAAUGCCACAACUGAGACCUACACUUUCUCUCACCCUGUCACCUUCUUUUCAAACAGAAAGACGUAGGCAGGGGGUGAGGUGGAGAAAAGCCACGCAUAGCAAAGGAAUCCCACGUGUCAUCCUUGUGUGAAGAGAGGCAGAUGCUACGCCGACACUCCUCUGAUGCCGUGGGAUUGCCGGAGAAAACUCCAGUCAGGCUUCAUCUCUCUACACGCUGUCUCCCGGCAACCUGAUGUCACAGCGCGGACCUAAAUCCAUCCUCUGGCAGUGGGUUUACGGCUUCCACAGCAGGUGGCCAUCACCGCAGGCACAUCAAUACCGUAAUCCUCUUCCUGAUCGCCCUUCCAGCGAGAUCUCUAAUGGCUUACUACAGCAGGAGCUAUGUGGGCGCCUGGUACAUGGAGCCACUUCAUUAACACUAAAGAGGAUGAUUAGGCAUUUGCCCAAUGGUCUCUCAUUUUGCGGAAGGCAUUUUGAGCUCAACGGUGCUGUUAAAGCUCUGUUUGAAUCCAUAAAAUGAAUCAAAGACACCUGUAGGAAACUGCACACAAACACAUUGAUAAAAUCAGUUGGAACAAAACUGAGCUGUAAGCACACACACACACACACACACACACACACACACAUACACGCACACACACACAUUCCCACCAGACACACUCACAGUUGGUUUUGUAUUCACAGCUACUGUCAGAUGUGCCCCUAAUGGCUUGGCACCAGCUCUUUUUUGCCUAAACUUUCAAAAAAAAGUUUUUGUUUUUUUUUGUCGUUUGGGGUAACUAAGCCAAACUUUUCAAAAUGUUUUUAAAUGUUAUUGUGUUUAAUAAAUGACACAUUCAAUAA